CCCAGGAGGGGCGGCUGGUCACGCCCAUCGGAACCCCUCUGCAGCCAGCCCACGCCCCGACACGCCCUCUACCGGCUCCUCCCACUCCGCCUACUUCCGGCUAUCCUUCGCGUCUAUCCGCCAUGUUUACUGAGGGCAGUUGCGGCGUGAGGGGGUCUUCAGGUUGAAGGCGUCGUGUUCCUGAGCUAGGUUAACCUGCAGAAAAGAAGCUGUAAGUGACGCCUGGCCUCGACUACACUGCUCCGGCCAGGUGGAGAAGGAAGACCAAUCAGGAUUCUGGUUCUGUUCUUGCCUGUGCCAUGACUCACUAGGUAACCUUAGUUGUUGGGAACUGAACUUGGAGUAACCUAGGAGAAAAGGGCGAUUUAUUGGGAGAACUGAGAAUCUGAGGAAAUUCUGAACAUCCCAGCAUGGGAAGGACCAGAGUGCUGCUGGCCUUCAAGAACAGGAUAGUGGCCCAAGGAGACGGAAUGCAAAAGAGCCCAUCGUCCCUCUGCACCCUCUCUGCUGUGGUCUCUGCAGCAGCUCUCCGGAGCUCGCUUUUUAAGAGCUGUACCAUGUGUCUUGUUUAGCUGCAUCAUAAUUAAUGAAUCCACCUCGAGGGAUGAACGUGGACUGGGAACAGGACAUGCUGUCCACGCAGCUUUAAGUGUUCUAGUGAGGAAGACACCUUGGGGACUGGCAGACAAUUAAGAGUAAAAGAGCCUCAGUCAGCAGUGACCUUGGGCAGAACUGUCUGCCAACCUGGACCUCUCUCCCCAGGACUGUCAGGUGAGAGAAAUAAACAUGUAUCUUCUUUGGGCCACUCUAUUUUGGGGCCUCUAUUAUAACAACUUAGCCAGUACCCUAACAGCUCACUUUUCUUUGUUCCUUUCCUGUCCCACUCAUCAAUCAGAGUUCCUCCCUUAAAGACAUAACCCAAGGAUCAUGGGCUUGGUCACACCUGAGACCUAAAGGGAGGGCUGGAGAAGGGGAAGGUGAUUCGGUUUCUCCUCCCUAGUGUAGAAAGUCCAGAUUUGAGGUUUGGCUUGGGCACCAAGGAAUCCGAUUAUGGCCUCUCUAGACUAUUCAAGGACCAGUUAAGGACUUUCAGGACAAAAGUGAGGUCUGUUGCAGCAAACUCUCCCUCCUGAGAAGUUCCUCCUCACUUCCUCCUCUCUUGCUGUGCAUCACACAGAUGUGAGUGGUUACGGGUUGUGUUGGGAGAGUGAAAAAUGGAGGCGGGGAUAUACUUAGGAAGCUGCUUAUGAGACAGUAAUACAUACUGGCCUCUGCCCUGGGUUUCUGACACAGGGCUCCUGAAACCCUUGUAAUUUCCUGGGUGUUGGGGUAUCUUUUGUUCUAACUGGGCAACUGUGGGUGGGCUCCAGGAUGAGGGCUGGUCACCAGAAAGAAUGAGCCAUGAUUAGAAACCAGGAAUUUUCAGCCUUGUCCCCCAUCCUCUUGAGGAGGGAGAAAGGCUGAAAAUAGAGUUAAUGAUCAAUCAUGCCUGGUAACAGAGCCUCCAUAAAACCUCAACAUGUGGGGUUUGGAGAGCUUCCGGGUUGGCGAACACAUCCACACUGGGAGGGUGACGUACCCCAGCUCCACGAGACACAAGCUUCUGUGCUCAGGAGCCCCUGGCCUCUCCCACUGUAUCCCCUCCUGGCUGUUCAUCUGUAUCCUUUAUCAUAUCCUCUAAUAAACUGGUAAAUGUAAGUAAGUGUUCCCCUGAGUUCUGGGAGCUGCUCUAGCAAAUUAAUUGAACCUGAGGAAGGGGUCAUGGAAACGUCUGGUUUGUGGCCAAGUUGGACAGGAUUGUGGGUAACCAGGGGGCCCACUACUUGUGACUGGCAUCUGAAGUAGGGUGGGGGUGGUCUGUGGGAUAGACUGAGGAGCCUUUAACCUCUGGGGUCUGACACUAUGUCUAGGCAGAUGGUGUUAGAAUGAGUUAAAUUCUAGUACACCCAGAUGGUGUUGAAGAGAACUGCUUGGUUCGGGAACUCCCUCCCCCUCCCCCUUGACACACACACACAUUUGGUGACCAGAAGUGUCAGAAGUGAAGAGUUCUGUGUGAGUGGGAGACAGACAGGAGGUAGAAAACUAAGUUUUCCCAAAUCAGUGCUAUAAUCUGGGGGCUCACAAAUCUCUUAAGAACUUUCUUUCUGAAGAUGCCUUGAAUCAAGGCAUUGCUGUAACCCAAGAGCCUUGGCCAGAUGGACAAUAAACUUCUAUGAGAUUCUGACAAACUGCCUCUGUCUAGUUUAUGUUCCCGUGGUUCUCAACAGCAUAAUGACAGCAGAUGGGACUGCACAGCCAUGAUGUGUGGGUGUCCUAGGGGAGCCGAGGUGGGGAGCGGCAGCUCGGAGUCCCUGCACGGGGCCGGGGGCUCCCGUGGAGGGUGGGGCCCUGGUGACCAGCACUGUGGGAGGUACCUCUGUGAUCUUCAUUCGCAGGCGGUGGUUUUCUGACUGCAGGCCCUCUAGGCGGGAUGUGCUUGCUUGGUUCACACUGGUGACUGAGGUGGAGGUUUUAGAAUCUUCUUUCUUCUGAUUCUGAGUGAACUGAAAUCGUCUGUUCUGAGUUGCUGCGUCUGGGUUUGUUCUCAGAGUGAUGAGCUGAAAGGACAAAAGUAGAGCUGAGAAGAGAACCCUGGGGUCUUUCCUCUCAGGCCCCAUCCAGUCCCUCCCAGCAGGGCCUGCACUGGAGGCAACAUGGGGCCCCAGGAAGGACACAGUCUGAGAGUCUGGAGCCCUGGGCUCAGGCUUGUCUCUGGCCCUUGCUUGUGUGUGACCUCGCGCAGGCCUCUUCCUCUCUCUGAGUCUCGGUUUUCUUCCUUGCCGGUAGAAGUCUGGUCUCCUGACCCUGAUUCCACCCGCAUCCUUGCCAUCCCGCUUAUGCCCUGCUCCAGCUGAGCCUCACUCUGCCUCAGGCCUUGCUCCACGUAGAAAAUAAACCUGAAGGUGACAGCUGUGAAGACAGUGGGAGGAGAGUGAAGGCUUGUGCUUGUUAGAACCAUGGCCGUGGCCCCUGUCCACUAGGACUUCUGGUUCAGAGGGUGGAGAGAACAUGUGAGUGCACGCAGAGAAGUUGUGGGCUUGGCCUGGAGCCUGGGAAAGUGUCGACACCCAAAGGAAGGAGUACAUGCCAGAGGUGUUCUGGGGCACAGCUGAGCCUGACUGGGGACUGACUGCGUGCCCAGGGGAGAGGAAAGAUCACUGGGGUCCCGUGGCUCCUCCAUCCAACAUAACCACUGACCUGAGAGAUAUUUUCCUGACAUUAUCCCACCCAGCAGUGGGCGGGUGAAUUGGAGGCCUUGACCUCUUUAGUAGGCUGAUCUGUGUAGAGAAAACCUAACCUCGGUGGGGCCCAAGAAUAAAGGAAGACGCAGAAGACAGAGUUAAGAAGUUAUUGACUCAAGCUGGGUUUGAUAAUAUCUGGAAGCUAUCACUCAGGUAAGCCCUGCAGAUGAAUGAAAAUGUAAGUGGCUGUUAAAAAUGGUUAUUCCUUUUCACCCACUAGUGCUACUUCUGUGACUCUAGCUUAAGGGAAUGACUGGAAACAAGAAAAGUGUAUUAUGUAGGAGAAAUAAAAGUACACUUAUAAUAUAAGAAAUCUGGAAAUACUGUAAUGCUCACCCAUAAGGGAUCAAGAAGACAAGUAGGUUACAGAACUUCCCCUCAAUGAUGGUUAUGAAUGUGGGAAAAUACAAGGGGCAAAAGCUAAGUGAAAAAGGCAACUACAAAGCAUGCUAUAAUUACAGCUGUGUCUGACUCACAGACGUAGAAUACAAACUUGUGGUUGCCAAGGGGGCGCGGGGUGGGAAGGGACAGACUGGGAUUUUAAAAAGUAGAAAAGAUAAACAAAAUUAUACUGUAUAGCACAGGGAAAUAUAUACAAGAUCUUGUGGCAGCGAAAAAAAAUGUGACAAUGAAUAUAUGUAUGUUCAUGUAUAACUGAAAAAUUGUGCUCUACACUGGAAUUUGACACAACAUUGUAAACUGACUAUAACUCAAUAAAAAAAUGUCAAAAAAAAUUACAGCUAUAUCUGAAAAAAACAUCACUGCCUAAGCACUAAAAAAAAGACUGGAAGGAUACAUCAAAAAUAUUAACAGUAAAAAACCAAACCAAAACAUUAACAGUGGUUAUUUUUGGGUGGGGGGACUAUGUGAGAGUUCUGAAAAAUCUGAUUUUUGCUUUUCUGCAUCUUCUAAACUUUGUGAUGUGAAUUGUGUUCAUCAGUUAAAGAAAAAAGUGCGUAAGACUUUUAGAAAGUGGAGGAAACUCAGCAAUCCCCUUGUGAGGCCGGACAGGAUGGCAGGGUGGUGAGAGUGGGGGCAGAGGACUGCCUGUACCUUGGGC